rnacentral:rRNA from 1 species
UAUGAAACCCAUUUGAGCGAGAAUAGUACUAGGAUGGGUGACCUCCUAGGAAGUCCUCGUGAAAGGGUUUCAUAU